UGGGGAAUAUUGCACAAUGGGCGCAAGCCUGAUGCAGCGACGCCGCGUGAGGGAUGACGGCCUUCGGGUUGUAAACCUCUUUCAACGCCGACGAAGCGUAAGUGACGGUAGGCGUAGAAGAAGCACCGGCCAACUACGUGCCAGCAGCCGCGGUAAUACGUAGGGUGCGAGCGUUGUCCGGAAUUACUGGGCGUAAAGAGCUCGUAGGUGGUUUGUCGCGUUGUUCGUGAAAACUCACAACUCAAUUGUGGGCGUGCGGGCGAUACGGGCAGACUGGAGUACUGCAGGGGAGACUGGAAUUCCUGGUGUAGCGGUGGAAUGCGCAGAUAUCAGGAGGAACACCGGUGGCGAAGGCGGGUCUCUGGGCAGUAACUGACGCUGAGGAGCGAAAGCGUGGGGAGCGAACAGGAUUAGAUACCCUGGUAGUCCACGCCGUAAACGGUGGGUACUAGGUGUGGGUUUCCUUCCUUGGGAUCCGUGCCGUAGCUAACGCAUUAAGUA
rnacentral:rRNA from 1 species